rnacentral:rRNA from 1 species
UGAACGCUGGCGGCGUGCCUAAUACAUGCAAGUCGAGCGAACGGACGAGAAGCUUGCUUCUCUGAUGUUAGCGGCGGACGGGUGAGUAACACGUGGAUAACCUACCUAUAAGACUGGGAUAACUUCGGGAAACCGGAGCUAAUACCGGAUAAUAUUUUGAACCGCAUGGUUCAAAAGUGAAAGACGGUCUUGCUGUCACUUAUAGAUGGAUCCGCGCUGCAUUAGCUAGUUGGUAAGGUAACGGCUUACCAAGGCAACGAUGCAUAGCCGACCUGAGAGGGUGAUCGGCCACACUGGAACUGAGACACGGUCCAGACUCCUACGGGAGGCAGCAGUAGGGAAUCUUCCGCAAUGGGCGAAAGCCUGACGGAGCAACGCCGCGUGAGUGAUGAAGGUCUUCGGAUCGUAAAACUCUGUUACUAGGGAAGAACAUAUGUGUAAGUAACUGUGCACAUCUUGACGGUACCUAAUCAGAAAGCCACGGCUAACUACGUG